GAAAUUUCACUUCACAGUUUUCCUCAUAACUCCUAACACCUGUGAAUUUGUCAGGGAAAUGAACUAAUUUCUUAGGUUGAGAUUCUAUUUGUAAAUUGAGAGACUAGGCUCAUGCCAUAUCCACAAGGUCUGCACAACUUUCAGUUAUGGCUGCUUUCUCAAACAGGAUGAUGAUUUGGACCUCAGAAUACAGCUGCCUGACAGAGGUUUCCUCUACUUCCUUCUGCUUCAGCUGCAAUAGGUCCUUAUCUAAGAAGUACACUGCUUAUGAAUAUGCAAAUCAUGUGAGAUUUUGGUGGUAAAAGCAGGGAUGUCUACACCUCCUACAACAUAUGAUCAGUGUCCUCUCCACAGUCACUGAACACUCAGGUCCUCACCAUGGGAGGGAGCUGGAUCAUCUUCUUCCUGGUAGCAACAGCUACAAGUGUUCACUCCCAGGUCCAGCUACAGCAGUCUCUGGCUGAGUUGAUGAAGCCUGGAGUCUCAGUGAAGUUGUCCUGCAAGACAUCAGGCUACAACUUCACUAGCUAUAAUAUGGACUGGGUGAAACAGAAGCCUGGGCAGGGCCUGGAGUGGAUUGGAAGUAUUUAUCCUUAUCCUGGAAAUAGUGGUACUAGCUACAAUCAAAAGUUCCAGUGCAAGGCCACACUGACUGCAGACAAAUCCUUCAGCACAGCCUACAUGGAGCUCAGCAGCCUGACAUCUGAGGACAAUGCAGUCUAUUAUUGUUCAAGAGACACAGUGUUGCAACAACAGGCUGAGUGUGUGAAAAACGUUGGAGGAGCAGGAAGCUGUCCUGGAACCGAGAUGAUAGAGAGGAUCAGCCUGGGGACUUACUCAGAAAUAACCAUUCCUAGUGUCUCUUUGUCUUCCUCAUCCUUGUGUCCCUAUCUCUUUUAAUUCUAACUUUCAUGAUAAUAACUUUGAAUGAAGUGAUGUGAAUUGUGUUUAAUCCUAUAAUGCAUUGUAUCUUGAUAAUAUCUCCACAGUGACCACCCACAUUGACAUGUUUUUCCCUUAAUAAAGCAAUGCACAUUGGAAAA